rnacentral:rRNA from 1 species
UACAGAGGUGGCAAGCGUUGUUCGGAAUUACUGGGCGUAAAGGGCGCGUAGGCGGUCUUGUAAGUCUCGUGUGAAAUCCCUCGGCUUAACUGAGGAACUGCACGGGAUACUGCAUGACUUGAGAUCGGGAGAGGGAAGCGGAAUUCCGGGAGUAGCGGUGAAAUGCGUAGAUAUCCGGAGGAACACCGGUGGCGAAGGCGGCUUCCUGGACCGACACUGACGCUGAGGCGCGAAAGCUAGGGGAGCAAACGGG